rnacentral:rRNA from 1 species
UACGAAGGGGGCUAGCGUUGCUCGGAAUCACUGGGCGUAAAGCGCACGUAGGCGGCUUCUUAAGUCAGGGGUGAAAUCCUGGAGCUCAACUCCAGAACUGCCUUUGAUACUGAGGAGCUCGAGUCCGGGAGAGGUGAGUGGAACUCCGAGUGUAGAGGUGAAAUUCGUAGAUAUUCGGAAGAACACCAGUGGCGAAGGCGGCGCACUGGCCCGGUACUGACGCUGAGGUGCGAAAGCGUGGGGAGCAAACAGG